UAGCAAGAGAACCAGAGGUC
rnacentral:piRNA from 1 species